UUUAAAUUGAGAGUUUGAUCCUGGCUCAGGAUGAACGCUGGCGGCGUGCUUAACACAUGCAAGUCGAGCGAGGGAGCACCUUCGGGUGUGAACUAGCGGCGGACGGGUGAGUAACACGUGGGCAACCUGCCUUACAGAGGGGGAUAGCCUUCCGAAAGGAAGAUUAAUACCGCAUAUUAUGAUUUUUCUGCAUGGGAAAG
rnacentral:rRNA from 1 species